AGAGUUUGAUCCUGGCUCAGGACGAACGCUGGCGGCGUGCCUAAUACAUGCAAGUAGAACGCUGAAGAGAGGAGCUUGCUCUUCUUGGAUGAGUUGCGAACGGGUGAGUAACGCGUAGGUAACCUGCCUUGUAGCGGGGGAUAACUAUUGGAAACGAUAGCUAAUACCGCAUAACAAUGGAUGACACAUGUCAUUUAUUUGAAAGGGGCAAUUGCUCCACUACAAGAUGGACCUGCGUUGUAUUAGCUAGUAGGUGAGGUAAUGGCUCACCUAGGCGACGAUACAUAGCCGACCUGAGAGGGUGAUCGGCCACACUGGGACUGAGACACGGCCCAGACUCCUACGGGAGGCAGCAGUAGGGAAUCUUCGGCAAUGGGGGCAACCCUGACCGAGCAACGCCGCGUGAGUGAAGAAGGUUUUCGGAUCGUAAAGCUCUGUUGUAAGUCAAGAACGGGUGUGAGAGUGGAAAGUUCACACUGUGACGGUAGCUUACCAGAAAGGGACGGCUAACUACGUGCCAGCAGCCGCGGUAAUACGUAGGUCCCGAGCGUUGUCCGGAUUUAUUGGGCGUAAAGCGAGCGCAGGCGGUUUGAUAAGUCUGAAGUUAAAGGCUGUGGCUCAACCAUAGUUCGCUUUGGAAACUGUCAAACUUGAGCGCAGAAGGGGAGAGUGGAAUUCCAUGUGUAGCGGUGAAAUGCGUAGAUAUAUGGAGGAACACCGGUGGCGAAAGCGGCUCUCUGGUCUGUAACUGACGCUGAGGCUCGAAAGCGUGGGGAGCGAACAGGAUUAGAUACCCUGGUAGUCCACGCCGUAAACGAUGAGUGCUAGGUGUUGGAUCCUUUCCGGGAUUCAGUGCCGCAGCUAACGCAUUAAGCACUCCGCCUGGGGAGUACGACCGCAAGGUUGAAACUCAAAGGAAUUGACGGGGGCCCGCACAAGCGGUGGAGCAUGUGGUUUAAUUCGAAGCAACGCGAAGAACCUUACCAGGUCUUGACAUCCCGAUGCUAUUUCUAGAGAUAGAAAGUUACUUCGGUACAUCGGUGACAGGUGGUGCAUGGUUGUCGUCAGCUCGUGUCGUGAGAUGUUGGGUUAAGUCCCGCAACGAGCGCAACCCCUAUUGUUAGUUGCCAUCAUUCAGUUGGGCACUCUAGCGAGACUGCCGGUAAUAAACCGGAGGAAGGUGGGGAUGACGUCAAAUCAUCAUGCCCCUUAUGACCUGGGCUACACACGUGCUACAAUGGUUGGUACAACGAGUUGCGAGUCGGUGACGGCGAGCUAAUCUCUUAAAGCCAAUCUCAGUUCGGAUUGUAGGCUGCAACUCGCCUACAGGAAGUCGGAAUCGCUAGUAAUCGCGGAUCAGCACGCCGCGGUGAAUACGUUCCCGGGCCUUGUACACACCGCCCGUCACACCACGAGAGUUUGUAACACCCGAAGUCGGUGAGGUAACCUUUUGGAGCCAGCCGCCUAAGGUGGGACAGAUGAUUGGGGUGAAGUCGUAACAAGGUAGCCGUAUCGGAAGGUGCGGCUGGAUCACCUCCUU
rnacentral:rRNA from 1 species